UGAAUUAAAUUGGUGCUCUAGCGGGUGGGGCAGACCCUGGGCUAGCAGGCCUCAGGGAGAACUCCAAUGGCGUCUGUGUUAGCACGCCCACACCAGGCCACAACAAUGGCUGCCGCCAAUGUCCCAGUCCCUGGAGAGGUCUCACCCCUCAUCGAGAUGCACUCAGGGCCUAUUAGCCCAGAUGAGGACGCCCAAUCAGAGAAGGAGUGAAUGACUCAGGCACAGCAACUUGAGGUCCCUCCUUGGGCCGAAUGACCUCAGGCAUGUGGGGACAUGUAAGCAGGAGUGAAUCACUUGGCGUCAUUUCACCACUCUUCCACUUACCUCACAAUGGCAACUGCAAAAUUCUUAUUGAAUGGACUGAGCAGCUGUCUGGUUUGAUUGUAGCUUCCGUGAAUUUGUGCCUCUGACCUCCACUGAAUUGCUUUUUUAUUGCUAUUUGCAGCAAUGUUCCCUGGUAAAUUACAACUUCUGUCUCUAUGGCAACCACAUCUACCUGAGAUGUUACUGCCUCUUUUUCUGCCAGUAGAAAAACGUAGUUAGAAGAGAAAAUCAUACACCUGGCUAGUGGCCCUUUCUACACUAUCAUGCCUGCAUCCUACUCUGAGCUGUGUGUUUUCAAUUAGGAAUCCCCAAGCUAAACUCAGUAGUUGCAUGCACAAGCAUGCCAUGCCUAUAGCAGGUGCAAAUGAAAGACAAAUGUGUAAAUUGUAUGUGUGAUUACCCACUUUUGGCUGUGAGCAGAAGACUUUAUGUCACGUACGCACAGGACAAAUAUAGGACAUUCUCUGGCCAGGUGUAAAUGCUGACAAUUCUGAAAUAAAAUAUUUCCUUUUGC